UACGUAGGUGGCAAGCGUUGUCCGGAAUUAUUGGGCGUAAAGCGCGCGCAGGCGGUCCUUUAAGUCUGAUGGGAAAGCCCACGGCUCAACCGUGGAGGGUCAUUGGAAACUGGGGAACUUGAGUACAGAAGAGGAAAGCGGAAUUCCACGUGUAGCGGUGAAAUGCGUAGAGAUGUGGAGGAACACCAGUGGCGAAGGCGGCUUUCUGGUCUGUAACUGACGCUGAGGCGCGAAAGCGUGGGGAGCAAACAGG
rnacentral:rRNA from 1 species